AGAGAAAGAGAGACAGAACAAGAGUGGACAAAGAACGAAGGAAGGAGAGAACGAGACUUGGGGCGGGAAAGAUCAGAAUUUUAGGGCUAAGUUUGGAACUUUUGAUCAGCGCCUGCAACUUCCUUUUCGCACAGAUAACCCAUUUCUCUCUUUCUCCUCAUCGAUUGAGA